UACGUAGGGUGCGAGCGUUGUCCGGAAUUAUUGGGCGUAAAGAGCUCGUAGGCGGCGUGUCACGUCGGAUGUGAAAGCCCGGGGCUUAACCCCGGGUCUGCAUUCGAUACGGGCAUGCUGGAGUUCGGCAGGGGAGAUCGGAAUUCCUGGUGUAGCGGUGAAAUGCGCAGAUAUCAGGAGGAACACCGGUGGCGAAGGCGGAUCUCUGGGCCAUUACUGACGCUGAGGAGCGAAAGCGUGGGGAGCGAACAGG
rnacentral:rRNA from 1 species